rnacentral:rRNA from 1 species
GACGAACGCUGGCGGCGUGCUUAACACAUGCAAGUCGAACGGGAAGGUCGGGCUUUGGUGGGGUGCGCGAGUGGCGAACGGGUGAGUAACACGUGAGUAACCUGCCCCUGACUGUGGGAUAACUUCAUGAAACUGGGUCUAAUACCGGAUAGGAGCUCCUGCUGCAUGGUGGGGGUGGGAAAGUUUCGUCGGUUGGGGAUGGACUCGCGGCUUAUCGGCUUGUUGGUGGGGUAGUGGCUUACCAAGGCUUGGACGGGUAGCUGGCCUGACAGGGUGACCGACCACAUUGGGACGGAGUUACGCACCGCACACAUACGGGCGGGAGGAGGGGGGAGUAUUGAAUAGGGGACGGACGCCUGCUGGAGCAAGCCAGGGCGCGGGAUGGAGGCAUUCGGUUGGUAAACAGCUUUCGCCUGCGAGGAAGGAUAAGUACCGGUACUGGAGAAAGAGGCACGGCUUAACUCGGG